UACGUAGGGUGCGAGCGUUGUCCGGAAUUAUUGGGCGUAAAGAGCUUGUAGGCGGUCUGUCGCGUCUGCUGUGAAAAUCCGGGGCUCAACCCCGGACUUGCAGUGGGUACGGGCAGACUAGAGUGUGGUAGGGGAGACUGGAAUUCCUGGUGUAGCGGUGAAAUGCGCAGAUAUCAGGAGGAACACCGAUGGCGGAAGGCAGGU
rnacentral:rRNA from 1 species